GAUGAACGCUAGCUACAGGCUUAACACAUGCGAGUCGAGGGGCAGCAUGGUCUUAGCUUGCUAAGGCCGAUGGCGACCGGCGCACGGGUGAGUAACACGUAUCCAACCUGCCGUCUACUCUUGGACAGCCUUCUGAAAGGAAGAUUAAUACAAGAUGGCAUCAUGAGUCCGCAUGUUCACAUGAUUAAAGGUAUUCCGGUAGACGAUGGGGAUGCGUUCCAUUAGAUAGUAGGCGGGGUAACGGCCCACCUAGUCUUCGAUGGAUAGGGGUUCUGAGAGGAAGGUCCCCCACAUUGGAACUGAGACACGGUCCAAACUCCUACGGGAGGCAGCAGUGAGGAAUAUUGGUCAAUGGGCGAGAGCCUGAACCAGCCAAGUAGCGUGAAGGAUGACUGCCCUAUGGGUUGUAAACUUCUUUUAUAAAGGAAUAAAGUCGGGUAUGGAUACCCGUUUGCAUGUACUUUAUGAAUAAGGAUCGGCUAACUCCGUG
rnacentral:rRNA from 1 species